UCUACUUCAACGUUUCAAUAGUUGUUUUUGUUUUAAGUAUGCUUCCGUAACACAGCCCUUCUAGGACAGCCAUUCCACUUCCUAUUAGUCCCAUUCAAAUGAAUAUAAUUUGCAAUACGUCUUGCAGUGACAGCAGGUUAAGGGUAGAAUAAAUUGAGGUUAGUUAUAAAAAGUAAUUUUAUAUAAAUCAAUGGAUUACAUAACAACCCAUUAGUCAUAUAGGCUGUGUUAGUGAUCAUAUUAUCAUUACUUUGAUUUAUUUAAGCAGAACUUUGCGCAUUUUUUUUUGUAUUGAAGGUGGCAGUGAUUGAGAAACAAAACAGUCGGUUGCUUUAGCUCGCCCGGGGCACCAGUUGGACGACGUUUCACAAUGAGAAAAUUCCAUUGGUCAUAAAGUAAUAUUCCUCUCACCUUGCGAGUUUAAAUGAAAUCACCAAAUCGACGCAUAUCUUAGUGGCUAGCUAUGUGAACAGUGUCUGGUAAACGCUAACCAGUACAAUCUUUGCUACCGGAGCAGCACGUGGAAAAUUGAUUCAGAUUAUAUGAGACCACAUGGUAUAUUCAAUUACAAACCAAAAUAAAACACCGUCAGGAAAAAGUUUGGAGUAAUGAAAACACGGAGAAGGCUAUAGGGGCAUGCAAAAAGGGCAUAUCAAUCCGUAAUGGCAUAUGUAAUGUUUAUAGUACCAAGGUCCACCACAAGUGACAGAAAAAGUGGAAAGGUUCCUCCCGACCAAGGCCAGACGGCACUGCCAUUAGGAGGUAGAAGAAACUCAGGAGAUAACGUCACGCCAUUAGGCCAAACAUAGUGGUUGUUUUUUAGACGGAGGCAAAACCCCAGAGCAUGCAGAAGGUAGACGACGUCCUUAAUAGAUGCAGAGCCAACCAGGCUACAAAACCUGAUAUGACUGAAUACUUUGAGCUCCUGGAGAAGACGCUGGAGCAACAUGGGUUGAAGGAUAAACAUUGUCAGAUGUAUAACUGUGCUGAGACAGGGUUCCAGAUGGAUGCAUCUAAAUGAAAGGUCCUUGCACCAAAGGGCUGGAAAAAGAAUUGCAUCCAGGCACUUGGUACACGUGUGUCAAUACUGGCUUGCUUUAAUGCAGCUGGUGAAGAUGUCCCCCCCUUUCAUAAUUUUUGGAAAGAGAUUCCCAGGAGGACCUUACACCAAGGAAGGUACAGCUAAUGCUCUCUAUGGCACAUUGCCAUCAGGAUACAUUGACAAUGAACUCUUCAGGGGGUGGUUUGGGAAUAAUUUCAUCAAGUAUGCUGUGAAAACAUGCCCCCUGCUGCUGGUGUUUAAUGGAAACAAAAGUCACCUGGAUCCGGAGGUGAUUGAGGCAGCAAGAAAAUAAAACGUUGUGCUCCUAGUUCUUCCUCCAAACAGCUCUCACAUUCUGAAGCCCCUGGAUUUGACCUACUUCUCUGCUUUGAAGACUGGGUUUUUCAAGGUGGCUGGAGACCUUUGCCACUUAAACUCCGUAGUCAUUUCCAAUAUGGACUUUCCCAUGGUUCUCCGUCAGCCGUACCAGCAAUGCAAAGAGCGGAAGAUUGUAGUCAGUGGGUUCAGAAAAGCUGGGAUCUUCCCCUUUAAUCCCAGUGCCAUAGAUUGGAGUAAAAUAGUUCCCUUGACAUCCAAAAAGCAACAGCCCCAAAGGACUGCGACUCCAUCAGCGCCACCAUCAGCAGUAACUCCCAGCAAGUACAUGUCCCACCCCCUGGGGGCAGCAGGACUGAAUAAUGCAGAAUUGGCUGAGGUCUUCACAGAGAUAGAUAAUCAAAAGAAGACGGCCCCAAGACCAAGUAAGAUGAAGACCCCACUGAAAGCUAGGGUUAUUACUGAGGAAGAGUAUGAGAGGGAGAUGAAACUGGAGUCGGCAAGGAAAAGAGACAGCAAGACACCGCCUCCUCGUAGCACAACCCCCGAUGCCGCGGAGAACCCCCAACCAGCCCUGCUACUUCUCCCUCAGGGUGAAACUGCAUCUCCUGCAGUCAAACAAACAAGUAAAUCCAGUAGAACUCCGAGCAGGUCACAUCAGAGUACUGAGGAGGGGAGAGACUGAGAACUGGAAGCUGAACAACAAAAUAGCAGAGGUCCUCAAACCAAGAGGGCUGGGUUGAGGCACAAGAGAUUGGACUAUGGUGAUAACUCCCAACGAUGAGGAUGGUUAUGGUAUCAAUCAAGCCUCAGCCAAGAUUGAAGCAAUGAGGAGAGCAAAGAUAAGGUGUUUGAUGCAAAGGAAGACGGUGCUGCUUUCAGAAUCGGAUCAUCACAGAUGACAGUUCAGAUGACGAACCCUUGGUUAAGAUGAUGACCAGGAAGCCAUCAAAUGAGGAGCUGAAAACAACAGUUAAGAAACUGAGUGCCGACCCAUGUCGACCUGGAGAAAGUCACAAUGAAGGAUGAAAUGAAGGACAUUUUCAAGAAGGUUUUUAAAAUGUACCCUCGUCAUGACCUGUCAAACAAGAAGUUGUACAUCAAGGAGACAGUGAAAAAGUUGUCGGAGUGUAGUCUGGAGUUCUUUGCUAAUCGCCACCUUCAAUGAGGCAGCAGGUAGCCUAGUGGUUAGCAUUGGGCUAGUAACCAAAAAGGUUUCUGGAUCGAAUCCCUAAGCUGACAAGGUAAAAAGUGUCGUUCUGCCCCUGAGUAAGGCAGUUUAACCCACUGUUCCCCGGGCGCCGAAGACGUGGAUGUUGAUUAAGGCAGCCCCCCGCACCUCUCUGAUUCAACUGACACAAUCAGUUGUGUUGUGACAAGGUAGGGGUGGUAUACAGAAGAUAGCCCUAUUUGGUAAAAGACCAAGUCCAUAUUAUGGCAACAACAACUCAAAUAACCAAAGAGAAACGACAGUCCAUCAUUAC